rnacentral:rRNA from 1 species
UACGUAGGGUGCGAGCGUUGUCCGGAAUUAUUGGUCGUAAAGAGCUCGUAGGCGGUGUGUCACGUCGGCCGUGAAAACCUGCAGCUUAACUGUGGGCGUGCGGUCGAUACGGGCAUCACUGGAGUUCGGCAAGGGAGACUGGAAUUCCUGGUGUAGCGGUGAAAUGCGCAGAUAUCAGGAGGAACACCGGUGGCGAAGGCGGGUCUCUGGGCCGAUACUGACGCUGAGGAGCGAAAGCGUGGGGAGCAAACAGG